rnacentral:misc_RNA from 1 species
GAUGAAGAACGUAGCGAAAUGCGAUAAGUAAUGUGAAUUGCAGAAUCCAGUGAAUCAUCGAAUCUUUGAACGCACAUUGCGCCCGCCAGCAUUCUGGCGGGCAUGCCUGUUCGAGCGUCAUUUCAACCCUCGACCUCCCUUUGGGGAAGUCGGCGUUGGGGACCGGCAGCACACCGCCGGCCCUGAAAUGGAGUGGCGGCCCGUCCGCGGCGACCUCUGCGUAGUAAUCCAACUCGCACCGGAACNNNGACGCGGCCACGCCGUAAAACACCCAACUUCUGAACGUUGACCUCGAAUCAGGUAGGACUACCCGCUGAACUUAAGCAUAUCAAUAAGCGGAGGA